CAGAAUAUGAGUGUAAGUGUGAGGAUCAUCAUGUCUGGUCCAAUGACACCUGUGAGAUCUAUCAGGUGUGUGAUGGGAUUGUGGGAGGAACUUGUGGAUGUAUUCAAGGUCUUCCUUCAGAGGGUCAACUUUGCCAGAGAGACAUAAAUGAAUGUAAAGAUGCACAGUCAGUGUGUGGUCAAAACUCAGAUUGUAUUAACACCAUUGGGAGUCACAUUUGUUCAUGCUGGAGUGGAUUUGCUCCCUUGUAUAAAAACAUUCCUGUGAGCGUCAACAACUCAUGUGUCUGGACUCAACCUUUAACUGAAUAUCUGAUUGAAAUUGAGAUAAAUACCCUGAAUCCUGCCAUCAUUGAUCAGCUGAGGGUCCUUCUGUUGUCUUUUAAUUUACCCUACACACUCAC